GAUGAACGCUGGCGGCGUGCCUAAUACAUGCAAGUCGAGCGAACAGACGAGGAGCUUGCUCCUCUGACGUUAGCGGCGGACGGGUGAGUAACACGUGGAUAACCUACCUAUAAGACUGGGAUAACUUCGGGAAACCGGAGCUAAUACCGGAUAAUAUAUUGAACCGCAUGGUUCAAUAGUGAAAGACGGUUUUGCUGUCACUUAUAGAUGGAUCCGCGCCGCAUUAGCUAGUUGGUAAGGUAACGGCUUACCAAGGCAACGAUGCGUAGCCGACCUGAGAGGGUGAUCGGCCACACUGGAACUGAGACACGGUCCAGACUCCUACGGAAGGCAGCAGUAGGGAAUCUUCCGCAAUGGGCGAAAGCCUGACGGAGCAACGCCGCGUGAGUGAUGAAGGUCUUCGGAUCGUAAAACUCUGUUAUGAGGGAAGAACAAAUGUGUAAGUAACUAUGCACGUCUUGACGGUACCUAAUCAGAAAGCCACGGCUAACUACGUG
rnacentral:rRNA from 1 species